UUAUAAACGACUCUCGGCAACGGAUAUCUCGGCUCACGCAUCGAUGAAGAACGUAGCAAAAUGCGAUACUUGGUGUGAAUUGCAGAAUCCCGUGAACCAUCGAGUUUUUGAACGCAAGUUGCGCCCGAAGCCUUUUGGCUGAGGGCACGUCUGCCUGGGCGUCACGC
rnacentral:rRNA from 1 species